rnacentral:miRNA from 1 species
AAGGAAUGUGGUUUCAGCGGCCU